rnacentral:rRNA from 1 species
GGAUUAGAUACCCUGGUAGUCCACGCUGUAAACGAUGUCGACUAGCCGUUGGGCUCAUUUAAGGGUUUAGUGGCGCAGCUAACGCGAUAAGUCGACCGCCUGGGGAGUACGGCCGCAAGGUUAAAACUCAAAGGAAUUGACGGGGGCCCGCACAAGCGGUGGAGCAUGUGGUUUAAUUCGAUGCAACGCGAAGAACCUUACCAGCCCUUGACAUCCUCGGAACUUGGCAGAGAUGCCUUGGUGCCUUCGGGAGCCGAGAGACAGGUGCUGCAUGGCUGUCGUCAGCUCGUGCUG